UACGUAGGGUGCAAGCGUUGUCCGGAAUCAUUGGGCGUAAAGCGCGCGUAGGUGGCUUCGUAAGUCCGUUGUGAAAGUCAAAGGCUCAACCUUUGAAUGCCGAUGGAUACUGCGAAGCUAGAGUACGGAAGAGGCGAGUGGAAUUCCUGGUGUAGCGGUGGAAUGCGCAGAUAUCAGGAGGAACACCGAUUGCGAAGGCAGCUCGCUGGGACGUUACUGACGCUGAGGUGCGAAAGCGUGGGGAGCAAACAGG
rnacentral:rRNA from 1 species